rnacentral:lncRNA from 1 species
AAAGCACAAAGGUGUCAGUAUUCACCUCAAAAACUAACAAAACCUUUGAAUAGACUUAUUAAGAAGGGAUAUAGUUACGAUAUUGUUGUCAGGUCAUUAAAGAUUGCAUAUUUUGGCGUUAAUAUUGAUUCACUUAUAGGGUCUUUGCAUCGGAACUAAACACAUUUAUUCAAAAACCAGUUGUUGGCAUGACACGAGUUAUGUUCUUCUCAUAUAUGUUAUGA